rnacentral:rRNA from 1 species
UACGGGGGGGGCAAGCGUUGUUCGGAAUUACUGGGCGUAAAGGGCUCGUAGGCGGCCAACUAAGUCGGACGUGAAAUCCCUCGGCUUAACCGGGGAACUGCGUCCGAUACUGGAUGGCUUGAGGUUGGGAGAGGGAUGCGGAAUUCCAGGUGUAGCGGUUAAAUGCGUAGAUAUCUGGAGGAACACCGGUGGCGAAGGCGGCAUCCUGGACCAAUUCUGACGCUGAGUGAGCGAAAGCCAGGGGAGCAAACGGG